rnacentral:lncRNA from 1 species
UUUUGGGGAGAAUUUGGGGGGUUUGGGGGACUCAACUCCAAUGGUCAUUUUUAGAAGUGCCUCGGGGACGAUUUGGGGUCAUUUGGGCUGAUUUUGGGGCAGUUGGGUGGUGAGUUUUUUUUGGGGGGGGGGCUGGGCCCAUUUUGGGGAGAUUUCGGGCGAUUUUGGGGUGGUUUGGGGGUGAUUUUGGGGUGAAUCCGUCGCGUUCUGGAUGCGCUGCGUUGGGGGAGGGAUUUUGGGGUGAUUUGGGGCGAUUUUGGGGUGCAGGGGGGGAGCCGCUGCCCGAGGUCUCCUCCCGCGUCUUCGAGGACGACGACAACCCCAAACUGAGCUCCACCGAGGUCACCGUCCGGGUGUCUCCGCAGCGGGGGGCCCACGGGCAGCGCCUCGUCUGCUCGGCCUCCAACGAGGCCGGCGGGGACCCGGCGGAGGCGGCCGUCACCGUCAGCGUGCUCUGUGAGUGCUCCCAGUGCCUCCCAGUCCCUCCCAGUACCUCCCAGUAGCCCUCCAUCCCCACCAUUCCCAUCCCCAUGAAGCCCUUGGCCGUUCCCAGUACCUCCCAGUGCCUCCCAGUACCCUUCCGCCCCGCCCACUCCCAUUCCCAUGAAGCCCUUGGCCAUUCCCAAUCCCUCCCAGUCCCUGUCCCUCCCAGUACCUCCCAGUACACCUCCACCCUCCCAAUUCCCAUCCCCAUGAAGUCCUUGGCCGUUCCCAGUACCUCCCAGUGCCUCCCAGUACCCUUCCACCCCCCCCACUCCCAUUCCCAUGAAGCCCUCGGGCCCUCCCAAUCCCUCCCAGUCCCUUCCAGUCCCUCCCAGUACCUCCC